AAGGAAUUUGUGAUAUUAUACUGACUUUAUCUCAACCUUAUAAUAUCUAUGUUAUAUGACCAUACAAUCAGUAAAAAAGUUUUUAUUUGGUCUAUGCUGCAGAUGCAGGUGAAAUAGACCUCACCAUCUAUGGAAACAGGCCUUCAUAUCAUGUUUGAAUGUAGCUUUUGAUGUUGUAUUUGUUGCCACAUUUUUUUAGACACAUAAUGAACUCAUGAAGACUCAGCUUUCUAAUUGUUUGUUGGGUUCUUUCCCAUUUGCUUUUCUUUUCCUGCACUUUCUGAAAUUGCACCAAGUUCAUUUGUUCAUCAGGCUUUGAGGAAUAGAAGAAAAAUGUGUCACCCACAUGAUUUAUUCUUUUGUGAUUGCCUGAAUGCACACAUUGUCAUUUGAAAUUCCCAGCCUGGGCCUAUGUUUUGUCCUAAAUUCUCUGCAAUGCUAGAGAAAAAGACGUGUUGAAAGAAUUAUCAAACAGUUUAAAUGCCUACAUAUAUUGAUUUCAAUAGAAAAGAUUCAGUUCUUGUGUGAAUCAAACUUUUCUAUCCUAGUGGCAUAAGAAGAUAACUUCUAUGUUUGUUUCUUGAGCUUCCUCAUGGACCUCACCAAUUAAUCUAGGUUUACAGAUUCAUCAAUGGACCUUUUUUUGCUUUGAUGCAUAGAUGUGGCACAUAUCAUUGCGACAUGGGUGCAGCCUUCACCUAAACAAGAAAGGGAGAAAGAAAAAAAGAAAACAGAGGGGAAGGUAGAGGAGGAGGAGGAAGGAGGAAGGAGGGAGUAGGGAGUAAGAAGAAGUGGAUAAGAGGGAAAGAGAAGAUAUUUGGCGGCAGAAGAGGAGAAUGCAGACAGCCAUAUGCAGGAUGGGGGUUUUACAAACCUUUUUCUAAACCUCCUUAUUAUUAUCAUUUCUGAAAAAGCUCAUUUCUUUUUAUUUUCUUACCAUCCGACUUUUCAAAUUCUCUUUCCGAAGUGCUGCACCAGAACUUGCAUCUGCACCCGUGUGACAUAAUCUUUCAGUGAAGGUGAAGCUGGCUGCAUGAAGUGCUGUCUGGGAACUACUAGCUGACACAUUAAUAUAUAUAUAUAUAUAUAUAUAUGCUGUCUGGGAACUACUAGCUGACACAUUAAUAUAUAUAUAUAUAUAUAUAUAUAUAUAAAGGGAGGGGGGAGAGAGAGAGAGAGAGAGAGAAUGAUUAUUUGAUGAGGUUUUAGAAGCAAACCACAUGAUCACACUGUUGCACCUCCUGGCUGUAAGACUUUAUCCUAAGUGACAUGAACCUAGCAAAGUAACUACCUCACCCAGGUUGACUUGUUGCGGUUUUGGGUGCACUGGAAAACCAAGGUAAAAUAAAUUGGGUGUAGUGAGUUGCACUGGACUUCUUUGAUCCAAUUUGGUGUGCAUUACAAAUAUUUUUGUAUGGACAAUUAAGAAACUGGGGCCCAGUCAACUUCAUCCAAGUCCACAAAUUUAAGAAAAAAGUGAAAAGGAUUGGUUCAAGUUUUUGCCACCCUCAACCCCUCCCUCUCUAUCUCUCUGCUGAUCGAAGGUAUCCUCUCUCUCUAGGCAUGGAACAUAGUCUGCAUCUCUCUCUCCCCCUAUAUAUAUAUAUAUAUCAUGAUAAAAUUAAAAUAAAAAAAUUCAAGGCAACAAUGCAUCAGUCCUUUAUAUAUAAGGUUCUAGGUGGAUUGCGGAUUUUUUUUAUGAUCACGUGGCUUGUUUUGAAGAUUAUUUCAAUUAAAAUAAAUCUGUUUUAUGUGGUUAAUUUGAUCGUAUUUUGAUUAAUACUGAAUAUGUUUUUCUAUGUGAGUUCGUUCUGAACUUAAGUUGUACUUUGAACAUUCAAUGAAUUGAUGUGUCCACAUUUUGGUAGUUUAAUUUGUAUAAUAGCGUGAUCCGUUAAUGCUUUUGAAUAUAUAUAUAUAUAUAUAUAUAUAUAUAUAUAUAUAAUGACAAGCAUUUUAUAGACAUCUGGGGAUGUCAAGUCUGGGCCAUCCGAUUGACAGCAGGGAAGGAGCUGCCAGGGCUCCUCCGUUCCUCCACCCAUGAUGGUUAGACGUAAGGGGGAGCCCCAGUGGCUCCCCUCUUGCAAGAGAGAUUGUGAGCAAGAGAGAGGGAGGAAGGAGAGGUAUUGGGAGAGCGAAGGAGAGGGAGAGAGAGAGAUGGGUGAUCUAAGCCAUCUGAUUCUAGAUCAAACAGCUCAGAUCUGAUGUCCCUGAGUGUAUAAAAAGGUUAAGAGACACCAUUCAAGGACUCAUAUAUCUAUCUAUCUAUCUAAUUCUCUAGCCUCUCACACACAUAGCUAAAUGCAUUGCUUGGUGUGAGAGGCAUGAGCAUCUGGAUGGCUGGAGAAACGUGAGCCCCACACAAGAGCAGCAGACAGUUUUCCUGGUUUGCUUGAUUUUAGAGGUGGAUGAAUGCAUAAAAAAUAGUUGUGAAUGGUGGUCAUGAUGGGAGUGUAAAACCUUGAGAAUGGGCAAUGCUUCACUUUGUCGGAAUUGUUAAUUGGACAAUUGGCUAAGUGGAAACUAGCCUCAGGAAGCUUACAAGAGAGCCUGACAUGUGAUCGGGGACGCGCUGAGGCUCUUUUUGAUUCUUGCCCACUGGGUGCUCAUGAUGUAUGAAAUGUUGGUCAAUAAGCAGUAGGCAUGGAUGACUGUGCACAUUUCCUACUGGAAUUGUGACAAGGUAGGGAGGUGCACAGGCAUACAAAGGAUUAACUAAACAAAAUUUUUAUUUCCAAUCUUCGAUGCCAUUCAUCUGAUUUCGCGGACCGUGCUCCACCCCGGUGAUCUCCGUCCGCCUCGACUUUGCUCAGUUUCAUCGGCAUUGGUACCGCCACAUCUUGGUGGCCUAUAGUCCUGAUGAGUCCUCACCUUUUUGGUAUGGAUCAAAGCAUUGAAUUUUUGGUCAAACAAGUACUAAUUGCAUUUUGUUGUACAAUUCUUUUUUAUAGGCUAACAUUCAACUUAAACUUGAACAUAAAGAGAGCAAAUUUGAACUUCCUAGCUAUGUCCACAAAUCAAAACCAUUUAAAUCUAAAUCAAAUCUGCUAAUGGAAACUUAACUUCUAGGACAGCAAUUUGAAUGAACCAAUUAUGGAGCCGCACAUGCCGCAGGUUGCCCUUUUUCCACUUUGUCCUGCUUUGCGAGAUGAUCCCUGUUAGGAAAGUCAAUAAUUUCGACCAUCUCAUGGCUGCAGACUUCAUGAUCAGAUCCUUGUGGCAACUCGAGGUCCUCAUGAAAACUUGCAAUUCCCUUUCUCAUGUAUAGUUGUAAAUGAUGGCCCAUACGGCCCAUGCACAUGAGCCAAUGAUUUGACAUGGCUCUAAUCGAAACUUAUGACUUGAAUUGAUGCGGAAAUGAAAUUCAUGGUCCUUGCUGUAUGCAUGGUGAAUUUCUCUUCCAAAACCAGUGGCACACUUGAGUGGCUGGACUGGAUGGCAUCAUGACAGGCUGAGGUGAGAUGGACCAGGUUUUAUGAGUUGCUUGAAGCCAAGGUCCUGGACCAUGAUUCAGACCUAAGCUUGUGGUGCAGAUGAGGCCUAGGCAGGAUCACAUCAAUAAGCUCCCUAGGCACAGGGGUGGUGCCUGGAUUGGCUAGUGGAGUAAUAUUGUUUCUAGACGGCUGCCUAAGUGGCUAACCUUCAAGCUAUUUUUCUUUUCUUAACUCUUAA